GAUUUCAAUAUGACGCAUUGAGCAGUAAUGCCAAUUUUUACGGGAAAAAUUCUUUGUCCCUCCUGUAGCUUUUUCAAAAGUUUUGUACUUUUACAGUUCUAGAAAAUCUACGAGAACAACCCACCAACCAACAACAACCCACGAUCCUAGAACACGUCAUUGCAUUUUAAAAGAGCUGGAGGCUUGUGCGGCUCGGGACGGCGACGACUCAGCUCUGGGUCUAGUAGAGAGAUACAGUUUACAUGGCUAGCUAUAAUAUAAGAAGUGUUAAUCAUAAAAUGCCUGAGUUAACAGUCUUCAUGCAAAUCUUCCACAGCGUCCGGAUGUGUUAUGUCUCCAGGAACAUGGACUAAUAGUAACAGUGCUGCUAUUUUGAAUACUUUGGCAUGUUACAAACCAGUAACUGUGUACUCACGCAUUAAACAGCGUGUGGGUGGCACUGCAAUUUUGAUAAGAAACGAACUUCAAUAUAAAAAUGUUCCUUUCCCGAAUCAUAUAAGCUGUUCAGAAGGCAGUUUCGAGUUCUCUACAAUUGAAAUGAGUAAACAUGGUGCAUCAUACUAUAUCAUAUCUCUACAGAAAUCCAAAUAGCUCCAUAGACGAAUUUUCUCCAUAGACGAAUUUUUUUUAAACUUGAAGAAAUGCUUACAUUCUUUCAGCCAAAAAUAAAAAAUAAACACUAUUUUAGCUGUGGAUUUCAAUAUAGACAUUUUAUCGGGCAAUAAGGAUUUUAUCGAGUUUAAGAAUUUAAUUACAUCUUUUGGGCUAAGUAGGAGUUUUAGUGAUGCCACUAGAGUAACAAAACAAUCUUCAACUGGAAUUGACAACAUAGUAACAAAUUUUACUCCAGUUGAGACAUAUACACUUGAACCCAGUCUAUCAGAUAACAAAAUGUUAAUUCUUUCAUGUACCAUUCCAAGAUUUCAGCAAACUCUUUGUAAGAAAACUCAAUUUAAGAGAAAUUGUAAAUCUCUAUACAUUUUUAAGUUUUAAGUUUUUACAAAUCCAAUAGUGAACAGUUCCAUAAAAAUCAAGUAUUUCACGAUUACAAUACAAGGAAUCAGAUACUACACCAUCCUGUUCAUCGGUUAAAACUCUAUGAGCAGGGCAUGUAUUAUUCUGCAUUAAAACUUUACAAUAAAUUGCCAGAAUCUUUAAAAAAUGAAUAUUCAAUUCAAACAUUUAAGAAUUCCUUAAAAUGCUACCUCAUAAACCAGGCAUAUUACUCUGUUGAAGAGUACCUAAAUACUUAAUUUACAUAUUUAUAUUUCUUAUUUGCCUUAAAUAAGUUUUUUGAGCAAAAGUGUAAUUUGUACUUUUAAUUUUUUGUAUUGACUUUGACAAUUCACGUGUUUAUUUUAGCUCUGCUAAAGAAUGUAAACAUGAUGUGAAACUUUUAUUGAAUAAAUUAAUAAAAGGUAUUUUAAAGAAAAAAAGAAAAAUCUACCCAAACAAAUAAACCAACACUCAUCUUCUUACAUUUGUCAUAUAUAUGACAAACAUGUUAUUCAUAUUUCAAAUCUGUAACCAAGACUAAACCAAGGAAUUCUAAUUCAUAUGAGCAAUGUUGAACUGUUUUCUAAAUAUUUAAUUCCUACAUUUUGACAGUUUUAUAUUCAAAAUAUUGUCUACCAGUCAAUUAAAAUUUACUACUUUUAAGGAAUAUCAUAAUUUUGAGCUAUUUCGUACUGCAUUCCACUAGAGAGUGAAAUCUCAUCAGCAUGCGGAUUUCAUUGCUAGACAGAUUUGUUCAAAUAUUUGAUUUUAAUCACAAAUAUCAAGAAAUUUAUUACACAGUGUAAUGUUUUAAGUCAUGUUUACUGGGUAAAACGUAACUACAAUAUUGAUAGAUACCAUAAUAUUUAUGAAACUCUAAAUGUAAAUCUGUGCGUUAAAUAUCCACAAAGAAACUUUGGUUAUUAAUUAAGAUGUGUAAAACCUGAUAAAUUAUAAUUAUAUCUAAAUAAACUGAUUUUGGCUUACAAGGUAUAUUGGAAAAAAGUGAUUCAUUUGCUUAAAGUUCCUUAUAAUAUAUAAAACAAUUAAAAGUCACACAAACCAGAUCCACAUAACAUUAUCUUAAAACAUAUAAUUUUAAUUUAGUGUAAAAUAUGAUUGAAACUAUGAUGAGCCAAAGUCCCAACCUAUGCUACAGGGUGGUAGGGCAAAUGGUAAAUACAACUGCUAGUAAGUAAAUUUAAAUGUUUCUACUAUAUUUUGGCAAAAUUUAUCCAUAGCAAGAAUUUUAUUUACAGUAUUUUACUAUUUUACUUUUUCAAUUUUUAACAUAUAAUAAAAAUAUUGAAAGUUAAAAAUGUAUUCACUCAGCUUUUUUGGAUACAAUUUUCCACUAAAUCAAUAUAUGAAUUUAUGAAAAUAGUAAAUGUAAAAAAUUUGUCUUCACGAUUUCUCAAGUUCUGAAGUAAGGCCUAUUUCUCACAUGUCAAUUAAAAUUCAAGCCAGAUAUCACUUUUCAAUUUACUCAUUUGUUAUUCUUUCUUGGAAAUAGAUUUUAACCUUAAAUGGUAUACAAAUAAUUAUUAAAAUAAAUUCAAAUAAAUAUUUUUAGUACUCUUCUGUAGGCCAGUAAGUUAUACUGUUCAUACUUAUAUCUACAAGGUUUUUAAAUAAAUGGACCCUUUUAAGAAUUACUUAUUCUAAGGAUGUAAGUAUGUAUUUCACAUUCAUUUACAGGUUUUUAUACAACUUAUAUUAUUUACACUAAAAUAAACAAUUUAAAUCCAUAAUAUAUUUAUAGUAAAAUAUGUAGUAACAACAAUACAAAACUCUAAAUGUAUGGUAUUUUCUAUACCUAAAUACACAGCCAGUAUAUAUCAAGAUAGAAUUUAUAAUUUUAGGUUCAGGAACCUUUUGCUUUUGAAAAGUACUCAGAGCUUAACUCUAAUUCAAUAAAGAGGGGACACAUCGACAUUUAUAGUAUGAUGCCCUAACACAAGCCUUCUACCUAAUCACACAAUAGAAUUAUUGAUUGCAAUUUUUUUAGUUUUUAAUAACUUGAAACAAUCAUAAACAAAUAAUUUUAAAUAUUGUACAAAAUUUGACAGUUAAAACUCUAAUUAAAUAGUAUUGAUUAGUCUAAGACCAAAAAUUGUAAGUGGAAGCAGAAUUUUUAAUUUUAUGACAUUUAAAUAAAAAGUAAGACUGACAUUUCUGUAUACCUUUUUUAUUAACCUAUAACAUACAGAGUGUAUAAGAGAAGGUAGUGAGUGUAAUGUAAUACAGUAGUAUUAUAGGUUAGUAAUACUAUAAUUAAUACAUGAGAAACAGCUAUGUUGCAGAAAGGAAAUAUCAACAUUAUGUCGAUUACAGUAUUUAUACAUUCAAAACUUUUGAGGAGAUACAGUAUUGGUUUUAAAAAACUUUUCCUUAUAGGAGUAAUUUUAAUCAGGACUGUACUGGUUUGGUUUGUUAUCUACGCUAUUUGAAAGGAAAAAUAAUAAAGACCACUAUUUAAUGUUUUCCAGCUUAGAAAACUAUUACAACCCUCCCAGAGUGAGCCAGAGUGUUGUACUGGUGGUGUAAGACACAUUGGAGAUCUAUUUUUAUAUACAGUAGCUAAAUUUCAGAAUGCACUGAAAACAUCACAGAACAAUAUUUUGUGGCAUAUUCCAGAAAUCAACAACACAGUUUGCCAAUGCUAUAUCUAGAUGAAACACUGAUGUAAAGCAAAGCACUAAAGCACUGCAAUGAGGUACACAUCUAGAUAUUAGUUGGAACCAAUAGGAAUCUACAGCUGAGAUCAAGCUCACAAUGUUGUGUUAGAUCAAUAGACAACGGUAAUAUGUAUAUUUCACUUUAGAUAUUUGUUUGUAUUAAAUUUCAAAAUUAAUGAAUUCAUUAAGAUCCUUAAAACUCAUUAAGCUGAAAAACUUUCAUGAGAACCUUCAAGUCACUAAUCAGAUAAUUCAUUGUGGGAAUCCUGUAAGCAGCGAAUUAGGAUAAAGACUAAUACAACAGAUGUAAAUACAUUUUUAGACAUACUUAUUAAAAAAAAUAAUUUUGUCAAAAGUUAUUGCAACUAUUUUACAUAAAAAAGAUUAUUUUCAAAAGCUAGAAGGUAAUUUUUUUACCAAUGUUAUAGAAUUCUUGUAAUCUACACAUUGAUUGUUCUCUCAAAAUAUUAUCCAUUGUCGUAGGUUUCCCAUACUGUUUUAAUUGUAUUUAUAACAUUUUCUAUUUCCUGUGAUAUAUCUCGUAUUUUCUGUUAUGUAUUCUUGUUUUUCUUUUUAAUCUAGUAAGAAUAUGAAUUAAAUCCUGGCACUAUUCUUGUAUAUAUGUGUAUAUGCUAAGUGAAUAAAGCUGUUUUGAAUUGAAAUGAA